AUACUAAAACUCAGUUGAAGUCACUGUUCAUUAACAGUGGUUUGACGGAUUUGCCCUUCAAUUGUUACCUGUUUUCAGCCUUUUUCCUGCACAGCACGGUAAAUUUACUAAUUUACCUCUUCGGUCCGCGUGUCAGCCAUAGUAGAAGGGAAGUGAACAGGUGAGCGCUCUUCCUCUGCUUCUCUGGAGUUUUCUUUCUCAGAAAACUAAAACGUUGUUCUCGAGUGUUCUUAAUCACAAACGGAGAAAUUCCAAGGUAAUCCAGUCUCCUCGAAAUCCCUGCAUCAUCAAAACAUCCCUCAUCAGAAUCUGCACUCGCUUUAGCUCCGUUCAAGUUGUUGCUCCGUUGGAUGUCAUCUUCUCCUCCAGCGUCUCAUCCUCUCCUUCUCCUGGUUUUUGCGGUUUGGCUGAAUAGGGGUAAAUCUAGAGCUGCUGCUUUCUAAAAAGCUGAUGCGAAGUGAGCUUCUGUUUUCGGUUUCCGUUUUGCUCUCCUUUUUUUUAUCGUACAGCACGAAACAGCCAAGGAUCGUGCACGAAGUCCCCACCUCAGGUUAUCCGUCUUCCGUACCAUCUGUCUCUUCCCCAAGAUAAAAGAUUAAGGCUUUGAAUUGAGAGUGAGUAUUGCAAGGUUUUUUUGUUUCUCUGGUAUUGAUUCAGCGAGUUUGCAUGUGGCUGAAAAUGGUGUUUCAGUUGCGAGGAACAAGACAUUUACAAAGUAUAUUCAAGAAUGCAUGGUCGGUUCUUUCUGAUGUUACGAUUUUGUUAUCAAUUUAAAAACUGUGGUUUGUAUUUUUUUAGUAUUAUUUUGGCAUUUUGGUGCAAUGGAUUUUUUUGUACCUAAUUGCAGACCUUUCGUUUGCUCAUGAUUUAGUAGUCGACUGAGUAUCCAUGCUUAUACAUACUUUAAUCAUUUUUUUGGCAACAUGUGUUCAACAUAGAGAUACCUUUUGGUUUGUUGGUGAGGCAUUAUGAGUGCUUAUCAGUUAUUUACUAAAGGUGGUUUUAUACGAACUACUUGAACUUCUUGGGAUGCCUGUCUUAAAAGCAAAUGGAGAGGUUUUUGCACUGUGUAUGCAGUUAAAUGACGAUGUUGUAUUUCAUAUGCAAGAAAUGAUUUCAUCAAGUAUGUUGUAUCUACUAUAUAUGCAAAACAGAUUGCUAGCUAAUCUUAUUCUUAUUAACUCUUCCCUUUUACCUUUAGAUUUCUGUUACGAUGCAGGCUAUUGAAGUUGGAGAAAGUUUGCAUGCAAACUCUAUUUUGCAUAAUGUUCUUCAGAAAAUUCUAUUUGAGGAUGGGAACCACCUGUAUCGGUUCUUGGAUGAUGAUCCAAUUGUAUCUCAUUCAUGGUUCGAACAGUUAUCAGAAUAGGAAGGGAUAACUGAAUUGAUUUCAUGGAUUAAAUCCCGGUGAAAAGCACUUGCAGACUUGCAGAUGCACUAUGCACCUUGAGAAGCAGAGCGAUAUGUAGUGCCAACCUGAGUCACAGUUGAAGUUUAUUACAGAGGCCUGACUACAGUUGAAUAUAGGCGAGUACUAACAUGGACAUAUGCUAAUUGAUAUUAUUUGCCGGAGCAUGAACAUGCCAAGUUCUGAGUACUUGCAAGGUGAAGUUGAGUCUGGGUUGGAACGGCUUCAUCAAUGUGCAGAAAAUGAGAUCCAAGUUUACCUCAAUGAUAAGGAAUUUCAAUGAGUUUCGCACAAAACUUGCUGGAUAGACCAGGUUAUGUUCUACUAAAGAUAUUACGCUACUUUUCUGAUUGGAUAAGUUGACUCGGGUUACAAUGAUAUAGCUUUUCAGUUUAUUAAUGCUAACAUGUUAGUUUUGCUAAGUGGGAAUGCCAUAAUAUAAAUUUUAUAGAAAUGAUGAAUGGGCCAAUCUGAAGUAACAAAUUUCAACUGAUGAAUGAACUCUUAUAUGACUGCCACUGCAUAUACUCAUCUUUUAUUUUGUUGGGUUUUAUUUUUUUAUUUUUAUUUUCUUUUGGUAAAAUGCAAUGUUGGUUUCGCGAAGAACUGACCUCUAUCUUAUCUAUAGCUCUAUACGCAUGUAGUUUUUCUCUUUUUUGGUCUCGAGUAUUUGGUUGAUUUUAUUUAACAAUCUUUUGGAAUAUAGAGAAUUUUUGCACCAAUGUCUUAUUCCAGGAUUUCCUGAUGAUUUAGCAUUGAGAUGUUGGGCAAAGGUGUCUCAUGGGAACCACAGAUUACUCGAAACUAUCUCAAAGAAGUGGAGAGAUUUCUUAUUAGCUCAGACUAUGCCAACUAUGAAGCUAUAGAAAAAUGGUGCGGAAAUUGGCUGUUUGUUAUUGACGAGAUAUAAUCCAAUAGCUAAUAAGUAUGCUCCCAUAUUCGACACUUAAAAAUAUGUCUAGAACUGAUGUUACUAUUACAGUAUUCCUACUUUCAUUUUUACAGAAGAAAAGGUUUUUCAUUCUUUAUUUCUUGCUAUAUUAUGUUGGGUUGUGCAAACUAUUCAUUUGUAGGGGAUCCCUUCAUAUAUAUUAGUUAAUUCUUGCUAA